rnacentral:rRNA from 1 species
GGCAGCAGUCGAGAAUCAUUCACAAUGCGCGAAAGCGUGAUGAUGCGACGCCGCGUGGAGGAUGAAGGCCUUCGGGUUGUAAACUCCUGUCAUGAGGGAAUAAUCUUCGGGGUGUAAAUAGCGCCUCGGACUGAUGGUACCUCAAGAGGAAGCCACGGCUAACUCUGUGCCAGCAGCCGCGGUAAUACAGAGGUGGCAAGCGUUGUUCGGAUUUACUGGGCGUAAAGGGUGCGUAGGCGGCACCGUAUGUCGGAUGUGAAAGCUCACGGCUCACCCGUGGAAAUGCAUCCGAAACUGCGGAGCUUGAGUACAGGAGAGGAGAGCGGAAUUCUCGGUGUAGCGGUGAAAUGCGUAGAUAUCGAGAGGAACGCCGGUGGCGAAAGCGGCUCUCUGGACUGAUACUGACGCUGAGGCACGAAAGCUGGGGGAGCGAAGAGGAUUAGAUACCCUCGUAGUCCCAGCCGUAAACGUUGUGCACUUGGUGUGGGAGGUUUUGUCCCCUUCCGUGCCGGAGCUAACGCGUUAAGUGCACCGCCUGGGGAGUACGGCCGCAAGGCUAAAACUCAAAGGAAUUGACGG